GAGAGUAAAACAGUACGUGAAAUUGUUGAAAGGGAAACGAUUGAAGUCAGUCAUGCCGGCGUUGGAUUCAGCUUGCUUCGCGGAGCUUGCGCAUUUCCUCGCAUGGCAGGUCAGCGUCAGUUUUGCGCGGCGUGAAAAGGCUCGGGUAAGGUAGCUCUCUUCGGGGAGUGUUAUAGACCUGGGCAAAUGCGCGGCGCGGGACUGAGGAUUGCAGCGGACACCUCUUCGGAGGCGCGGCGACCGAACCCUGCUCGGCCACCCUCGUUCGAUAGCGUGCUAACGGACGCGGGAGCGGCAGUGCACCGGAACAGGCAAGCCAGCGGUUCGCUUAGGAUGCUGACGUAAUGGCUUUAAACGA
rnacentral:rRNA from 1 species